AAUUUGAAAUCUGGCCCCCUCGGGGUCCGAGUUGUAAUUUGUAGAGAGUGUUUCGGGGGAGACCGCGGUCUAAGUCAAUUGGAACAUGGCGUCCCAGAGGGUGAGAAUCCCGUAUGUGACCGCGGCUCGAGCCCGUGUGAAGCCUCUUCGACGAGUCGAGUUGUUUGGGAAUGCAGCUCUAAAUGGGUGGUAAAUUUCAUCUAAAGCUAAAUACUGGCUGGAGACCGAUAGCGCACAAGUAGAGUGAUCGAAAGAUGAAAAGCACUUUGGAAAGAGGGUUAAACAGUACGUGAAAUUGUUGAAAGGGAAGCGCUUGCAACCAGACCUGCCCGUAGGCGAUCAACCGCUGUUCUCAGCGGUGCACUCGUUCUGCGAUCAGGCCAGCAUCGGUUCGGGCGGUCGGAUAAAGGCCUUGGGAAUGUAGCUUCCCUUCGGGGGAGUCUUAUAGCCCUCGGUGCAAUGCGGCCAGCCGGGACCGAGGACCGCGCUUCGGCUAGGAUGCUGGCGUAAUGGUUGUAAGCGACCC
rnacentral:rRNA from 1 species